rnacentral:tRNA from 1 species
GGGGAGGUACCGGAGCGGUCUAACGGGCUAGAUUAAGGGUCUAGUGGCGCAAGCCUUCAGGGGUUCGAAUCCUCUUCUCCCCA